GAGUACUACAGGUUUUAUCUUUUCAGGCUCAACAGCUGUGACACCAGGCGAACUUUCAAAGAUGCCGCGGAGAGGAAAGAGAUCACAGGCUCAAAAAAUUCGUUGGAGGAAGUUCGACCUGGAGGAUGAACAGACCAGACCCUCCAGGAUUAACCAGUUGCAGGAAGAAUUGGGAGACCAUAGCAGUCCUGUCUGUGUGCAAUAUACCUUCUAAAGCUAAGUGUUAAAAGAUUUUGCUUCAGUCUGUGUACUACUGCUUUUCAUAACUGCGUUUGAAUGGAAAUGUUAUAUUUGAAUCUCUAAUUUUGAUUUUUAUGUUUUUUAGGAACCAGCCAAAUGAAGUGAGAUUGUCUGAGAAGAUCACGUGUGCUACAUCAAUGACGAUGACGAGCUGGAUACCAGAUUAUGUGCCAAUUUCUUUCCAGAACAGGUCCAAAUAUCUAUGGCAUUGAAGACAACUCUGAAGAAUGAAGAAGCAGAGGAAGAAGCACACUGAGGUCAAUACUACUGAUAAGGUGUAGUAUUUCAGUGCAUUUUAUUAUACAAUGGUUUCAGGCGUUUUCCCUGGUCAAAAA